rnacentral:misc_RNA from 1 species
AACUUUUAACAAUGGAUCACUUAUCGAAAAGUUGGCUGAGCAAUUCCUGGUAAAGCGUAACUUUUCAAAGCAGCAUCAAAAUGGGGCUUCGGAUCGCAUCGGUUACACAGAUGUAACGCCCCGUCGAUCCGCAGAGGACUCUUUCAACAGCCUGCCAGGACCACCAAACCUCAGGAGGGAACACCCGCGGAAAAGCGGCUUGGAAAUGGGCACCCACUGGGCAGCGGAUCUGAAAACCGCCCAUGCCAAAGCACUCCUCCGUGACCCAACCGGUUUGCCCAACCGGUGGCGUCGGCAUGGCGGCGCACGGGCGGCGCCAGAGGAUUUAAGUUCUAUUGAAUCGUUCUGCCUGCGUCCAAACUUAAGCAUAUCAAUAAGCGGAGGCU